UGGGGAUUGCUGGUUACAAUGGUUACAUGCAUGGGGAAGUCCGGUUACAAUGGUUACAUGCAUGGGGAAUCAGGUUACAAUGGUUACAUACAUGGGGAAGUCAGGUUACAAUGGUUACAUGCAUGGGGAAGUCGGGUUACAAUGGUUACAUGCAUGGGAAAUCAGGUUACAAUGGUUACAUACAUGGAGAAUGAGGGUUACAAUGGUUACAUACAUGGAGAAUGAGGGUUACAAUGGUUACAUGCAUGGGAAAUCAGGUUACAAUGGUUACAUACAUGGAGAAUGAGGGUUACAAUGGUUACAUACAUGGGGAUUGAUGGUUACAAUGGUUACAUGCAUAGGAAAUCAGGUUACAAUAGUUACAUACAUGGGGAAUGAGGGUUACAAUGGUUACAUGCAUGGGAAAGGAGGGUUACAAUGGUUACAUGCAUGGGGAUUGAGGGUUACAAUGGUUACAUACAUGGAGAAUGAGGGUUACAAUGGUUACAUACAUGGGGAAGUCAGGUUACAAUGGUUACAUGCAU